rnacentral:rRNA from 1 species
AGAGUUUGAUUAUGGCUCAGAACGUACGCUGGCGGCACGCCUAACACAUGCAAGUCGAACGCAGUAGCAAUACUGAGUGGCAAACGGGUGAGUAUAAUGUGGGAAUCUGCCUUUUGGUUUGGAAUAACACGGGGAAACUUGUGCUAAUACCGAAUAAGCCCUUACGGGGAAAGUUUUAAUGCCGAAAGAUGAGCCCGCACUUGAUUAGCUAGUUGGUAAGGUAAAAGCUUACCAAGGCAACGAUCAAUAGCUGUUCUUAGAGGAAGACCAGCCACAUUGGGACUGAGACACGGCCCAGACUCCUACGGGAGGCAGCAGUGGGGAAUCUUGCACAAUGGGGGAAACCCUGAUGCAGCGAUGCCGCGUGAGUGAAGAAGGCCUUUGGGUUGUAAAACUCUUUCGUCGGGGAAGAAAAUGACUGUACCCGAAUAAGAAGGUCCGGCUAACUUCGUGCCAGCCGCCGCGGUAA